UCCAGAGGUGCAGCGCUCAGGCCGUGAAGCAUUCCUGAUUGACUCACAUUAUGUCAUCUGUGACUGCUUGUCACAAGAAUUGAAACGAGGCAAAGACGCAUACAAAAAUGUGGAGGAGAAAUUUGGUUUCCUUACUAAAACGAAAUCAAUGGACAUUGAACAAAUCCAUGCAGCCACAGAAAAGCUGAAGAAAAUAUACCCUCAGGAUCUUGAGGAGGACUUUACAGCAGAGUUUUGCCAGUUCAUCUCAAUGGUAAAAGAUGAAGAAUCAGUCAUGGCCAUGUACAAGAAGCUCCUAGAGCUAGGCUUGAGGGAUGCUUUCCCUAAUGUGGACAUUUGCCUUCGCAUGUAUCUGACAUUACCGAUUGCAAACUGUUCAGGAGAAAGAUCAUUUUCUUUGUUGAAACGAGUGAAAACAUACCGGAGAGCAACAGUAACAGAAAAAAAACUGAAUGCCUUUGCCCUGUUGGCAAUUGAGAAUGGAUUUACAACCUCCCUGGAUUUUGAAGACAUUAUCGAGGACUUCGCCUCAUCAAAACUUAGGAGAAAGCAUCUGUAAAGAUCGUGAUGAUGCUGUCAAGACGUGUUUCUGCUGCGAUGGAGGCCUGCGAUGCUGGAAGGCUGAAGAUUAUCCCUGAGUGGAGCAUGCUAAAUGGUUUCCUCAGUGUGAAUAUGGGCUCCAGGAGAAGGGACAAGAAUUUUUGUUCACCCAAUUCAGGCUCGUUUUCCUUGGCUGUCUGAGCAGAGUGCAGUCUAGUAAAGCACACCGUCCAGAGAAACAUCCAGACCAGUGGAGAGAACUGCUGAACAGUCCAGACCAGGAGCUGAGCUGCUGAGUGUUGAAUACCAGAAAAUGGAAGAGAGGUGAUGGUUGUCCAUGAAAAUAAACAUC